CCUACGGGUGGCAGCAGUGAGGAAUAUUGGUCAAUGGGCGGAAGCCUGAACCAGCCACGUAGCGUGCAGGAUGACGGCCCUCCGGGUUGUAAACUUCUUUUAUAUGGGAAUAAAGUGCAGUAUGUAUACUGCUUUUCAUGUACCUUAUGUAUAUGGAUCGGCUAACUCAGUUCCAGCAGCCGCGGUAAUACGGAGGAUCCGAGCGUUAUCCGGAUUUAUUGGGUUUAACGGGAGCGUAGGCGGGUUGUUAAGUCAGUUGUGAAAGUUUGCGGCUCAACCGUAAAAUUGCAGUUGAUACUGGCAUCCUUGAGUACAGUAGAGGUAGGCGGAAUUCGUGGUGUAGCGGUGAAAUGCUUAGAUAUCACGAAGAACUCCGAUUGCGAAGGCAGCCUGCUGGACUGGAACUGACGCUGAUGCUCGAAAGUGUGGGUAUCAAACAGGAUUAGAUACCCGAGUAGUC
rnacentral:rRNA from 1 species